AAAAACAAGAAAAAAAACUAUAUUUCUUUAUUAAAGACAAAUUUAUAAUAUUAUACAUUUUAAAACUGUUUUUAAAAAUAGGAUUAUCAAACUUUUUUUGUUUUUCUUAAUAAUUAUUUUCUAAAAUUAAUUUACAACAUAAUUUUUAAAAACUAAAAACUAAAACACGAUUUAUAUCUCUUGUUUGAAAGAGAUAAGCAUUUUAUAUCUCUUAUUUGGAAAAAAAUUUAAAUAACCAGUUUUUG
rnacentral:lncRNA from 1 species